UACGUAGGGUGCAAGCGUUAAUCGGAAUUACUGGGCGUAAAGCGUGCGCAGGUGGCUUUGCAAGACAGAUGUGAAAUCCCCGGGCUUAACCUGGGAACUGCAUUUGUGACUGCAUGGCUGGAGUGUGGCAGAGGGGGGUGGAAUUCCACGUGUAGCAGUGAAAUGCGUAGAGAUGUGGAGGAACACCGAUGGCGAAGGCAGCCCCCUGGGCUAACACUGACGCUCAUGCACGAAAGCGUGGGGAGCAAACAGG
rnacentral:rRNA from 1 species